CGCCUGAAUUAUAAUAAAGGACAAGAAGCCCCUAUAGAGCUUUAUUAAUAGUAGUUAUAAAACUUUUCUAUUAAUUUGGUUGGGACAACCAAAAAACAUUUAAACCUUUUUAUUUUUUAAUAAUACCCUCAUCCAUAAUUGAACCAGAACUUUAAGCUACCUUAGGGAUAACAGGCUAAUCCUACUAGAGAGACCACAUUGACAGUAGGGGUUGGCACCUCGAUGUUGGCUUAGUGUAACCAUUAGGCGCAGCCGCUAAUAGAG
rnacentral:rRNA from 1 species